UCCCAGAAAUCACCACCAUUGAAACUGGCAACCCUGCUGACAGUCUCCAUAGAGGGGCCAAGAGCUGAAUUCAUGGACGCUAUAUGCUUUGCCUCCAGGAAAGACCAAAACAAGAAACCUGUCUGACAAAGAAACAACACUGUGUGAGGUGCCUGGUACUUCCUCCUAGAGUGCUGCCUGGAUGCUCGCAUAUGAAAAGUGGUUACAGUUAACGUUUGUGACAGAACUGGGGGUGCGAGCACUUUGCAGGGCAGCUUGCAUAGAUCAAGCAGUUUGCUGGGGAGCUAUGAACAGCAGACUCAUCCACACUAGAGGAAAAUCAUUAGCUAGUCAAUGCCACACAACCAAGAAUAUUGCUUUUCAAAAUUUUGCCACUAUGUGAGAGAGGCUGUUUGUCAGGGUGAGAAAUGAACCCUUUUCCUAUCAGAUAUAUGUGGACAAGGGCAUCCAAA